rnacentral:rRNA from 1 species
UACGUAGGGGGCAAGCGUUGUCCGGAAUUACUGGGCGUAAAGCGCACGUAGGUGGCGACGUAAGUCGGGUGUGAAAGCCCCGGGCUCAACCUGGGAAUUGCAUUCGAGACUGCAUUGCUGGAGUACGGAAGAGGAGGGCGGAAUUCCCGGUGUAGCGGUGAAAUGCGUAGAUAUCGGGAGGAACAUCAGUGGCGAAGGCGGCCCUCUGGUCCGAUACUGACGCUGAGGAGCGAAAGCGUGGGGAGCAAACAGGG